rnacentral:rRNA from 1 species
AUCAACUUUCGAUGGUAGGAUAGAGGCCUACCAUGGUGUUAACGGGUAACGGGGUGUUAGGGCACGACACCGGAGAGGGAGCCUGAGAAACGGCUACCACAUCCAAGGAUGGCAGCAGGCGCGCAAAUUACCCAAUCCCGACACGGGGAGGUAGUGACAAUAAAUAACAAUACGGGGUCCUUUCGGGUUUCGUAAUUGGAAUGAGUACAAUUUAAAUCUCUUAACGAGGAACAAUUGGAGGGCAAGUCUGGUGCCAGCAGCCGCGGUAAUUCCAGCUCCAAUAGCGUAUAUUAAAGUUGUUGCAGUUAAAAAGCUCGUAGUUGAAUUUCGGGACUAGUACGCUGGUCGUGCCUUCGGUAUGUACUGGUGUUACUGAUUCCUACCUUCUGACGAACCGUCAUGUCAUUAAUUUGGUGUGGCGGGGAAUCAGGACUGUUACUUUGAAAAAAUUAGAGUGUUUAAAGCAGGCUCGCGCUUGAAUACAUUAGCAUGGAAUAAUGAAAUAGGACGUUCGAUCCUAUUUUGUUGGUUUCUAGGAUUGACGUAAUGAUUAAUAGGGAUAGUUGGGGGCAUUAGUAUUCAAUUGUCAGAGGUGAAAUUCUUGGAUUUAUUGAAGACUAACUACUGCGAAAGCAUUUGCCAAGGAUGUUUUCAUUAAUCAAGAACGAAAGUUAGGGGAUCGAAGACGAUCAGAUACCGUCGUAGUCUUAACCAUAAACUAUGCCGACUAGGGAUCGGAUGAUGUUAUUUUUAAUGACUCAUUCGGCGCCUUACGGGAAACCAAAGUGUUUGGGUUC